ACAUGAUAUAGCCCAUUUUCAGGAGUGUAGUUUAACACACCAAAUCAGAAACGAAAACCCUAUUUACUCUAUUUUGUCCUUAUUUAUUCCCAAAUUCAAAACCCUAACCCUAUUUUCUUCCAUUGCAGUCAAGAAUUAAUCGUAUAAUUAUAACUGCAUUUGUUUGGUUCAGCCGUGAAUUUUCAAACGCAUUUGUUUGUUUGGUUCAGCCUUGAAUUUUCAAACGCGCGAUUCCUUUUUUUCAUCGAUUUCAGUGGCUAUUAGGGUUUUGGUUGGAAAACUGAUUCUGGUUCUAAUACAUGUCAAAAGUGAUUUACCAAUUUUAUGCUUAGCGAAAAAAUGGAAUACAACAGUUGGAUUCUACACAGACUGGUGUGCUCAUCCUGAUAUGGGACAAUCUAGCCCUUCUCCCCCAGACUUAUUUAUUUAUGGUGGUGGAAGCUAUCUGGAUGCUAACACCAAAUAGGUUAGCAACUAUUUUCCUCAUCAACAUACAUUUAAUUGUGAUACCGACUUACUACAACCUACCAAAAAAAUUAUUUAUCUUUAGAAUCACAAGAUACAUGUAAAUGUCAACCACAAACAAUUGAAAGUGCAGAAGCAGCUUCUUGACAUCAUCCGAGCAAAGAGUUACCUGGCUAAAGUCUCUUAUAGAUCAAGAGUUAUACUUCUGUUUCAAAAGAUUGAGAGAGCAUAUAUAUGCAUUUUUGGACUUUAUGCCUAGGAGUUUGGCUCUGAAUGCGGCAAUCCGGACUAGUGUUGUGUGUACAUUUCAUAUCUUGAUUUUGUAAAAUAUUUUAGGUCUGAAAGAGUGAUGAAAAAGUGAUUGUGGAAAUAGGAGGAGCACAUUGUACCUUCAUUUCCCCAUGAGAUAUUGAUUGGAUACCUAAUUGUUUUAAGAAAAGGGGUUUCUCAACUUGCUAUGUAUGGGCAUGUCCUUAUAUACUAUAUUGUCAUCCCAAAGAGCAAAAGAUUCCAAACAAUGAUAAGCUACCCUCUUGGGGUUCCAAAGUGACAAUUUCUCAUUUGCAAUACUUUGACGGAGACUUUGGUGUGGUUCAACUAUGGAAAAAGCAAGGUCCAUUAAAACAGAGUGUGGAGGAGACUAUGAAAAUAUGUUGAAGAAACAAGUGUCAAUUAGAGCUUUGAAGACCAUGGGACAUGUCAAUCCUUCGAAAGACGACACUGCUAAAGACAUUCUGGUGAUUCAAAAGUAGCUCACUUACAAUAUUCAUGCAUGCAUUGCUGUGAAGUGAUAAUGUCUGGGACGCGGUGGUUUUGCACUGAAUGCAAAAAAUUUGUGAAAGAUGCCACACUUCAAAUGAACACACCUUAAAGAGCGGAGAAGUGCAUCCACUUUGUCAGGCCGUUGUUGAUGAUAUCCCCUCCAACACUACGCAUAAUGAUUACAUCCUUGAGAAUGGAUUAUUUGAAGAUAGGAACAACUUUUUGAGCUUCUGCCAGAAGUAUCAGUUUCAGUUUGACACACUCCGACGUGCCAAGUAUUCCUCAAUGAUGAUUCUCUACCAUCUAAGCAAUCCUAGUCCUAUGAAUUUUGGAAAAUGUUGUAUUAUUUGUUGCGCACACAAUGUGUUCUAAAAGUGGUGGAAAUGUGAGGUUUGUCCAGAUUGAACCAUUUUCUCUCUAUGUUAUAAGGAUAGAGGUGUUUGCCAUGAACACAAGUUGACUCUAAAUGAAGACAAGUCAAUUCAAAAGAACUCAUUUUGGCUGAAAAUAAUUCAACACCACAAUCUAUAUGCUGAAACAGAAGAAGUUUUUGAUAUAUCUUAACUACGGAAUCAUGAGUUACAUGGGAAAAGGUCUAAUACAUCCAGGUCUAAUACAUCAUCUUGUCAAUUCAAGAAGUUGUUCAAUCAUGCCAAAGUUAUAAAACUCAUAUUGAUGGGGAUGCAAGUAUUGUAAAAAGAUAUGGACUAUACUAACUUCUCACUUCAUGGAUUGCAAAGACUCAGAAUGUAGAAUACCACAUUUCAGAUUUUAGAAUAUAGAAGAGAGGAGCAGAUGUUGAUAGUGACAAAACAGUCAUUGAUAUUGGUGUUUAGUUGAUUUGUGUUCAUUUUGAGUCAACUUGUGUUCGUGGCAGUCAGCACCUCUAUCGUUAUAGCAUGCAUAGCAAAUUGUACAAUCUGGACAAACCUCACAUUUCCAGCACUUUUGGAAUACAUUGUGUGCGCAACAAAUACUACAACAUUUUCCAAAAUUCAUAGCACUAGGAUUGCUUAGAUGGUAGAGGAUCAUCAUUGAAGAAUACUUGGCACGUCGGAGUGUGUCAAACUGAAACUGAUACUUUUGGCAGAAGCUCAAAAAUAUAUUCCUAUCUUCAAAUAAUCCAUUCUCAAGGAUGGUAUCAUUAUGCUUAGUGCUGGAGGGGAUAUCAUCAACAAUUGUAAUAUAUUGAUACGAAAGUCAAACAAAAACUCUUUUUAUUGUAUUCGUUGUGAAAUUUAAACAAACUUUUGUACAAUAAAAACUGUUUGAUUAAUUUUAUCGGAUAAAAUAGGAAA